UACGUAGGGGGCGAGCGUUGUCCGGAAUUAUUGGGCGUAAAGAGCUCGUAGGCGGUCUGUCGCGUCUGCUGUGAAAAUCAGGGCUCAACCCUGGACCUGCAGUGGGUACGGGCAGACUAGAGUGCGGUAGGGGAGAUCGGAAUUCCUGGUGUAGCGGUGAAAUGCGCAGAUAUCAGGAGGAACACCGGUGGCGAAGGCGGAUCUCUGGGCCGUAACUGACGCUGGAGGAGCGAAAGCAUGGGGAGCGAACAGG
rnacentral:rRNA from 1 species